UGGAGAACCCUGAGGGCAGGGCCCGAGC
rnacentral:piRNA from 1 species